AACUUGUUGCAAUGUAUCUCUUGGCUCUCGCAUCGAUUAAGAACGCAGCGAAAUGCGAUAAGUAAUGUGAAUUGCAGAAUUCCGUGAAUCAUCAAAUCUUUGAACGCACAUUGCACUCAGUGGUAUUCCGCUGAGUAUAUCUGUUUGAGAAUCAGUUUAAUUCUCACUUCUUGGUGUGGCAACCUGCCUUGAAGUGGACUUGGGACUCCUUGGCUAACCCUGAGAGCCCUUAAUUCCAUCUGUCGCCUUGAUUUUUCAGAAUCUCAACCGGAAGGCAUGAUCAAUUGCUGCAAAGCUCUUUGUGCUGAUAACGGAAGGGGGAAUGGUCUAUCGCUUGGUGCAAAAUUAAACACGAGGCCUAACGGCUUUAAGACUUGAUCUCAAAUCAGAUAAGACUACCCGCCGAACUUAAGCAUAUCAAUAAGCGGAGGCU
rnacentral:misc_RNA from 1 species